rnacentral:rRNA from 1 species
GAUGGACGUACCUCUGGUGUACCAGUUGUCCUGCCAAGGGCAUGGCUGGGUAGCUAUGUACGGAAUGGAUAAGCGCUGAAAGCAUCUAAGCGCGAAGCCAACUUCAAGAUAAGAUUUCCCACCGCAAGGGUAAGACUCCAGAAAGACUAUCUGGUUGAUAGGUCGAAGGUGUAAGUGCAGCAAUGUAUUUAGCUUAUCGAUACUAAUAGGUCGAGGACUUGACCAAU